rnacentral:rRNA from 1 species
UUAUCGGAGAGUUUGAUCCUGGCUCAGGACGAACGCUGGCGGCGUGCCUAAUACAUGCAAGUCGAGCGAACAGAUGGGAGCUUGCUCCCUGGUGUUAGCUGCG